GGUUCUGUAUAAGGCCCACCUAUAAUCCAGGAUGGUUUCAUUUUGAGAUCCUUAAUUUAGUUACAGCUGCAAAGAUCCUUUUUCCAAAUAAAGU